rnacentral:rRNA from 1 species
CCUACGGGAGGCAGCAGCAGUGGGAAUAUUGCACAAUGGGCGGAAGCCUGAUGCAGCAACGCCGCGUGCGGGAUGACGGCCUUCGGGUUGUAAACCGCUUUCGCCUGUGACGAAGCGUGAGUGACGGUAAUGGGUAAAGAAGCACCGGCUAACUACGUGCCAGCAGCCGCGGUGAUACGUAGGGUGCGAGCGUUGUCCGGAUUUAUUGGGCGUAAAGGGCUCGUAGGCGGUUGAUCGCGUCGGAAGUGGAAACUUGAUGCUUAACGUUGAGCGUGCUUUCGAUACGGGUUGACUUGAGGAAGGUAGGGGAGAAUGGAAUUCCUGGUGGAGCGGUGGAAUGCGCAGAUAUCAGGAGGAACACCAGUGGCGAAGGCGGUUCCUGGGCCUUUCCU